ACUAGACUUAUUCCAGAUUUGCAUUACCAAACUUUCAGUCCUCAUGUGCAUAAAUCAGCAAUCGCAAUUGCUGACUUUUCAAUCAUUUCAUGUUGUUUUUUUUUAAAGAUAAAGCUCAGAAAUUCUCCAAAUUGCAAAUAAAUUUAUAGCAAAUCAAAUAUAAUAAGUUGAACAAAUUCAUCAAAACCAAUUAACUUGUAGUCAAGUCAACCUUCAGUUUGCUAAUUAAGUGUGAAGUGAGAACACGCAGUUGUUCAAUUCGUUCAAAGCUUCAUCAUUUUCCCUUUACUAGUCUUGCACUAUAAAAUACCAUAUGUUAAUACUUUGUUCAUUCAUCAAAAAAUUAAUUUAAUUUCUAGCUUUCUUCUCAUCACACUAUCAUGAAGACCAUAAGUUCAACAUCUAUUUUCGCGAUUAUCCUUGUUUUCAUUGGGUUAAUCCUCUCUCCUGGAAUACAACAAGGUGUCGUUGCUCGUUCUAACGUGUAUAGAGGUAAUUAAUUAAUCAUACAUAUAUAUUUUUUUUCUUCUUCUUUUUGGGGAUUUUAAUAUAAAAAUUUGCGUAAUGUGGAUACAUAUAUGCAGAAGUACUUGUAAGGAGAUCAAUAUGUCCUGCUUGUGUGUGUUGCCAACCUCCACCACCAGGAUCUUGUUGCAGCUGCUGCGCUUCUCCUAUCAAUACUCAGUCCCACAAUGGUUCGCCUUAACCGACAUGCAGAGUCGGAUUCAGAAUUUAUAAUCCAGAAUAAAUUGUAAUUUUGAAAUUAGUAGUUCACACGUUGAAUAUGCUUUGGAUUAUUAUUUAUCGGAUGCAGUAACAUUCAUGCAAGAUAAUUAUAAACAUAAAUUAAAUACUUCCGUAUGUUUUUUCCCUUCUCAAAAUUUGCAAUGGCCUGGUCCUGGUAUUUGUCCAUUUUGUGUCUUCUUGUUCAUAAUCAAUAAGCUAGCUUGCAAUUGUAAAAUUAAUCCCCUUGGC
rnacentral:lncRNA from 1 species